UAUACCUAGGUGAUCCUCUAUGGGGUCCCUGUCCCCUAUACCUAGGUGAUCCCCUAUGGGAUCCCUGUCCCCUAUACCUAGGUGAUCCCCUAUGGGAUCCCUGUCCCCUAUACCUAGGUGAUCCCCUAUGGGAUCCCUGUCCCCUAUACCUAGGUGAUCCUCUAUGGGAUCCCUGUCCCCUAUACCUAGGUGAUCCCCUAUGGGAUCCCUGUCCCCUAUACCUAGGUGAUCCUCUAUGGGAUCCCUGUCCCCUAUACCUAGGUGAUCCUCUAUGGGGUCCCUGUCCCCUAUACCUAGGUGAUCCUCUAUGGGAUCCCUGUCCCCUAUACCUAGGUGGCUCCCAGCCUGUUCAGCAGCCCCAUUCAAGUGUGGCAGAUGCAUCUCAGGAGGGAGGUCACGCCAUCCUGGGCCUCAGAACUCUAAGUGCAG